UACAGGUGCUGCAUGGCUGUCGUCAGCUCGUGUCGUGAGAUGUUCGGUUAAGUCCGCUAACGAGCGCAACCCUCGCUGUGUGUUACAAGUGUCACACGGAACUGCCGGUCAUAAACCGGAGGAAGGUGGGAUGACGUCAAGUCAGCAUGGCCUUUAUAUCCCUGGGCUACACACACGCUACAAUGGGAAGGGACAAUAGGUUGCGAAGCCGCGAGGCGGAGCCAAUCCAGCAAAACUUCCCUCAGUUCAGAUUGCAGGCUGCAACCCGCCUGCAUGAAGUUGGAGUUGCUAGUAAACGCAGGUCAGCCAUACUGCGUUGAAUACGUUCCCGGGCCUU
rnacentral:rRNA from 1 species